UCCCCUAUCUUCGUCCACGUUUUGUUCUUAUCCAUAUCCGAUUUUUAUUUAACAUGUAGAGUCGUUAUUCUACGGAACCCUUUAUUACUUUAGGGAUUAAUCGAAGUCAACUGACCCAAUUCAUAAACAAACUAUAUGGAUUUCCUCGAUGAUCGGAUUUAUUUAUUAUCGCUUAGAUGUUUUUCUGGUUCUGAAUUUCAAACUAAUUUUAUGCCCUGUUUAUAUUCUGUUUCAUUUGAAGUUAUAAAAUUUAACUCAACAGAACCACUAAACAGAAUUGAGUUCUGGUAACAGGGAUCAUAGGGUGAGGGUUUCGCUCAUCCAAUCAUUCCUUUGUUAUCUGCACUAGUGAGUGUCGUCUUCUGAUAAAACGACGUCGUCGUCACACAGCCUUGGUUAGAAGAAGAAGAAGAAGAAGGUAUGGGAGACAUAUUCUACGGCAACGAUGACCACCGAGAAAUGAAUGAUUGUAUGUAUAAGGAGGAUGUGAUAGAAAGCAUGAGAAAGCAAAGGGAAAUCAAAGAACUCAAGCGCAGACAAAACAACAACAACUACUGCUGCUGCUACUUGUACUUCCUUCGAUGCUUUGAUGACUUUCUCACGCUUCUCCGUGCUUUCAUCAACUUCUGAUCGAUCAUCCUUUCAUCUCCUUGUGACUAGCUAAGCUACUAUUCGUCUUAUCUUAAUCAAUUUCUUGUGUAUUUCAUUGAUCGUACAAAACUCGAUCAUGAAAUUUUUUAUUUCCUCAUCUAAUCCACUGCUUUACAUGAACUUUUUUCAUAAAUCCAUCUGUGUUGCAGUAUCGAUGUAAUUACUUGUAUAUUACUACUCCCCCUGAUUUGAUAUAGGCGCAAUAAUGAUAAGAGUUCAAUUAGAAUGUGUAGGAUAACAUUAUGAAUUAUCAUGUAGGAUAAAAUUAUUAAUUCUUCU